AAUAUAUAUAUAUAAAUAUAAUUAUUAUAAAUAUAUAAUAUUAUAUUUAUGACUGUCUUUCUGGGUUAAAGCACGCUUUGUGGGGCUGACAGGGGAAAAGUACGUUGCCAAUCCAUGUUUAUGCCUGGUUAUGUAUCGCCCUCUUGAAUGAUCAUCCUCACUCUUUUGCGCAUACAAUGCCCAGGUCUGUUACAGUGCAAGGUAGGAUGGUGGCUCAGGAAUUCUGGGAAUUGAAGUCCACAGGCCAUAAAGUUGCCAUAGUUUUCUGCUCUUAGCAGCGUGGCGUUUCCUUGCCCUCCUUCCCGUUGGCCCUUUCAAGCUUGGGUUGUCUCUCGCAAACCACCACACACCCCAAAGUACAUCAGAUGUAGGUGUAACGGCUGGUUGCGGCCUUGUCUUUCCAACCAUCAACUCUUAGGAACAAUACGCAUUUCAUGCUCCACCAGUGGUGAUUUUGCAAGGUCACUCAACUUUCCUCUGGUUUCCAGGUGUCUUUGGCCACUGCUGCAUCCAAAAAAGAGGAAAUAGUGGAUGGAUAGAAGUUUUGGGAUAAAUGAUCAGAGGUGAAACCAAAUUAAGGUGUUGCAUGGGUUUGGUUGAAAAAGAGGAGAAACCCAAGAGGUUGUUGAUACUGGCUUAAUCCAACUGUAGUCCAACAUGGAAAUUCUGUGUUAGCACUGAUUAAACCAAAAAACAAAAUAUGGCAGCAGAUGAAGGUUUGUUCUGGGUUGGAAAUAUUGAUUCCUCUCUUUUAAAAAAAAAUAAUAUUUUUUUGGCUGGGGGGUUUGUGUUUGAGUAAGAACAAAGAAUUAAAAUAUAAACUGCUAGAUUGUAACUGGAGAUAAAAGUUACGUUUGUAGUGCUUUCUUUCCUUUUUCGCUUGUAUAGCUUCAGUCCCAACCACCUUUUCACCUCCCUCCAUAGUUAACUCUUUCCCCCUUUUUUGAGGAAAAAAAAGAGAAAGAAAAAAGAAAAAAAGUAUUCUAUGUAGGAUUCUUUUUAUUUAUUUUAUUUUUUGUGCUCUCAGUUAAAAUCACUGUAGAAGUGCCCCAUAAUACAUUUUAAAUACUAAAAUAAGGAUUUGUUUUGUUUUGUUUUUCUGAGUUAUGACGGGACAGUUUUUAUUUCAUUUUCAAACAUUUUAUCUACCUCACUCUUUUUUUGUGUGUAUAUAUAAAAAUAUACAUCUCACAUUUUCUCAGCAGCCGACAAUAUACUGUUGAAUACUGGCGACCUCAUUUGUUAUACAAACCACAUCCUCCAGGUUUUUAGAGAAGGAGGUCACUGCUGAACACACAUGCACACCUACACACACACACAAAUCCCUUGGAGAAGAAAGUUGUUGCGGCUGUACACUUACAAAUGCUUUUGUCUCUGUGGUAUGUUGCGGAUUGAAAGCAGUUUUCACUUGGUUUUGAGUAAAAAUGAAAAGCUGCUGUCCCUCUAGUUCGGAGGUCUCUAAACUUGGCAAGUUUAAGAUUUGUGGACUUCAACUCCUAGAAUUCUCCAGCCAGCUGGCUGGAGAAUUCUAGGAGUUGAAGUCCACAAGUCUUAAAGUUGCCAAGUUUGGGGACCCCUGCUCUAGUUAAAAAGAACAGGGAGGUGAAAACUCCCAGGGGCAUCGUUUGGUGGAGUUAAAACAGAUUAUCUGCUGGGAUGAAGUAGGGUUUAAAAAUGGGGAGCUUUUAACAGGUUGAUUAGGUUCUAGUCACAUGUCAAAUGUGGACAUGGAGAAGGAGGGCUAAUCCUUUUGAAGGUCUCCAGGUGCCUCCAAAACCCUGAAAGAGGUGUUGGAACCAAGUGAUAGCUACCUAAACAUACAGUAGAUCUGUAUUUCUCUGGAAGAUCAGCAAAAUGGAGUUCCCCAAAACCAACUUUUAGGAGUGACCUGGCAGGAACAUAAAGACGCGGUGUGUGUUUGUAGCUGAAAAAAAAUGUCGACUGUUUGGAUUGUUUCCCCUGAACCUUCAAACCAGGGGUCCCCAAACUUGGCAACUAUAAGACUUGUGGACUUCAAUUCCCAGAAUCCUUAAAUCCUUAAAGUUGCCAAGUUUGGAGAUCUCUGCUCCAAACAAUGUUUUGCAGUCGUGGAAACCAUCAGGUGACGAGUCCUGGGCUUCACUGAUCUGCCAGUAAGAUGGUGGUUCUCCUUUCUGGCCACCGUUCAUAGCCACAGAGCUUGAAAUCCUCUUACCCAGUUUGUGGUCAUCCAGCUGGGUUGAAUCUGGAUUCUCCACCUGAAUUUGGGGUGUGCGUUCUUAGCACAUCUGGAGACUCCAGGUUGAAGGAUGACUUGCUUGCUGCAUCUGAAUUAUGUCAUGCUCAACUAGAUGAUACAAACCUUAAUUGUGUCAAUGUCCACUAGUUGGCCUCUAGAGAGAUGAAAGGCAUCUAAGGCCAUGCUUGCUUCUAAAAUGGGUUUUGGUAAGGAGCAGAUCCUGGCUAUGCUUUGCUUGAUGUCCUUCUGUUCUUUCAAGUGAUUGUGUUUUUGUAUGUGAGUUUAGUGGUGGCCUCUCCUUUCUUGCACAUACUAAUCUCCUGUUUAGAUCUUCAGAUCUUUCAACUGGUUUCAGAUGAUUUUUUCCCCUCUAAACUGUCCAUGUUAUUACUUUUAGUUGUUUUGUAGGUGGCUUAAAAUAUUAGGAGAGAAAACUAACCUUACAAUGCCCAUCAGGACAUACAUUUCAUAAGCAUUCAGAAAUAAGGCAGUUGUGUAAUUAAAUAAGUAGGCCUAUGUCACAGGUGAGCUCACCUCAAAUCAAAUCACCUCAAAUCUACCAUAGUGUUCUGCAUUCAUAUUCUUAAAUACUCAUGUUGGUUUCCACAUAUAUUUUUUGUUUUGUUAUUGCAAUCUUUUGGUGUGUUGCCCCGGUUGAUAUUAUCUAUGCCUUUUUUUCCCCUUCAUACCAUCUUUCGGUUGAUAGUGAACCCAUGUUGUCUAUGCAUUUCCCACCCACCCACCCCCCCAAAAAUGUGUUGGCUUGAUAUUGGGCACAAGGCUGCAAUUUUCUGCAGGGUUUAUAAGAGAUGGAGAAUUUAGUUUAGUUUCUGGAUGGGUUUGGAUUGAAAUGAUACAAUCUCAGUUGCUGGAUGUCAUGAUCAAAGCGUAGAACCGAAUUGGCUUCACCAAGGAGACCAGAAAGUUGGACCACUUGUCCCAUUCAUGCACGAAAGUCUGAAAAGAGCUUUUCUAAGCCCAUCUUUUCUAAAUUCUUCAUUCAAAUUAUGUCCCCACCCCAUCCCAGAUCUCCCAGUACUUGGAUGUAACACCAUUUCCAGUUUGCAAUGAACAAGCAGUGCUUGCUGGUACACCUGUUGUGCAAAUCUAGAAGGCUUAGCUUGAAUGGUGCAGGAAAUUGCAGUUCCAACACAACUGAAGGAGGGACUUCCCUGGUUUAAACCAUUGGUUCUCCGCAAACCACGUUCCAUAGCAGGACUCAAUCUAGGGGCUUGGAUGUGUUACUAUUCGAUCGCACAAGGUGAUCUUGAGGCAUUAUGGUAGAAUAUGGUCUCUUCUACCAUAUUCUCUACGGCAUCCCUAUGAAAUCAAUUCAAGACUGCUUCGGACUUUUCACUUCUCAUUAAGGAAGGAUCCAGCUCUGCGUGGAUUGCCUAUUUGUACACCUUUGCAUAUAAUACUCUGGAGAUAGGGCAGCAGAGGGUAACCAAUAGUUGUCCUGGCUAGGGAUUAUGGGUGUCUCAAAACCAGAAGAUUUUUGGAAGGCUGGAUUAGACAGUACUAUGUCUGCAAUUUUACUUCCAGUCCCUUUUGCUUUGGAAUUAUCAAUAGCUGGAUAGUUGCCUUCCAGUCAUCCUGUAAGGAGGUCAAUGAACAUGUAUUGUGCUUGUUUUUUAGAGCCUUUGCACAGAUGCUACCCAAUGGUGUUUGUUAAAUUGUAAUGGUGCUGCAUUUUAAAAAAAACAACCCCACAAUUAUUCACUUUUAAUUUUUGAGAUGGCUUUUCCUUCAACGAACGGCCUGAGUCCCUUGGUUACUCUGUGAUGUGCAGAACAUGGUUUGGGUUCAGAGUGAGGACUUCUGUGUCAAAAUAGAACUGCUACCCGUCGUUGGUUUAGUUUUUGAUGUCAGUAAUGACACCCGAAGCAGAGCCUUCGAGAAAGCUGGUUCCCACUUUAGCUCCCUCCUCUGCAUCUCCACAUACCGUGAAGAGUUUAAGUUGGUUAGCAUCGACGUGCCAGUUUGAUGCUCCAAAGGUAGUUGAACCCAGAACUGGUUGGAAAGUGGAUCUGCUGCUUAGAUCUCUGGGAAAUACAGAGGGUUGUUUAGUACAAUCUGUUGGGUAUAUGAAUGACACUCCUGUUGUUGGUAUAAUGUUUGAUAUAGUUAUAUUUUUAAAUGAAAUUUCAUUCCAGUAGUUGGUGACAUUUCAUUGUGACUUUUAUUUAAGUUCGUCCAAGAUGUUUUCCCGUUGUCUAUUCAGGUAAUUCAUUCAUAUAUCUUCUGGCUGAGGGGUCAGCAAUUAUUUCAGGCACCAUAAACACUCACCCCUUCCCCAUUUUUAAAAAGUUAUGUUUGACAACUUUGCCCAAAUCCCAUAUAAGAUCAUCAGAUUUUGCAAAAAGACAAACCACUUAUUUUUUAAAAAAACACACACACAUAUAUUCUUGUUUUAAGUUAAAAGGUGCCAUGUUGGUGACCCCAACUCUGGUCUAAUCCUGGCCCCUUCCUAACUUUCUUUAUCAAUGGGAAAGGUCUGACCUUUGGCAAAUCACUCAAAAUUGCUCGUCAUGGAGAAUGGUUACAUUCCUUUCCCAUCCCAGGGAGAUGAGAGGUAGGAAAAUUGGAAAAUUGUUCCUUCCCUGUUCCAUGGCUAGGAUUUUUGGAACAGCUGACUAGGGCUAAGGAUUUGAUCCAUGGCGGUUCAUGGUGUUGGAUCGACCGCAGUUCAAAUCAUGAGCAUGCUCUUUCAGGGUGAGCUUUCUUUUCCUGGAGGUGCUGAAGAUACAGAACGUGGGCUUCGUUCAACAAAUUGUGAGUCCUGUUUGAAGGACCGGUGGGUUCCAAGUUGAAACGCUUCCAUGUCUUUCUGGUAGGUUUUAAGAUCCACAAGGUUCAGUCCAAACACAAGUUAUGGGGCAGAAGUGCUGGCCAGCAAAACACAGGUUGACCGAAGUUGAGCGUGCUUACAGUUACGAGAACAUUCGUGGCCAGGAAUCCUAACUACUUUGGAACUUGCGAGUCUGAAGUCUGGAGUUCUAGAUGUUCCAUCGAUAUUAGUUCUGGAGCAUUUCUGAUGUGGAAUCAAAUAACACUAAACAGAACUUCAUACAGGCUGCCGCUGCUGCUUCUAAUACUUUGACCCUGAGCCAAAUCUCCACAUGCAUCUAGAACAGAGGUCUCCAAACUUGGCAACUUUAAGACUUACGGACCAAGUCGACAAGUCUUAAAGUUGCCAAGUUUGGGGACCCCUGAUCUAGAACAACCAAUUCUCUACAUGCAUCUAGAACAAACCAAGUAGGUUUCUCAAAGCAUCUUAAUGGAAGGUAACUCCCACUGGAGUCUAGGGAAGUAAUGCCCUCCAUCCAUGUAUUUUGGAGAAUUUGAAAGGGAUAGAUUACGGCCCUCUGGCCAUCCUCAUUAACGCAAGUUCCAGACAGCUUUUUUGCACGCAUACGUGUGUGUGUGUGUGUGUGUGUGUGUGUGUGUGUGUGUAAAUGUCAGCUUUGAAUUCUGUAUCCUUCCUAUCCACUACCAAUCCAUUAUUAGCAUUUUUCAUUGGGGCUGUUCAGUCCAGUAGAUUACGGGUAGUCAGUUGACAAAAGAUCUGGUUUACAGAAACAAAUGACAUAUUUCAUUACAUUUUGCAAGACACUAGAGUAGUUUAUAUAAACAUUUGUAGUUUAUAAAUGCUAACAAUGAUUUAAGAGCACUUUUCAGUGUAUGUGGUUUUCCUUCCCCCCCCUUUUUUUUUUCAGGAUACCGAUGUUACUACCUUUACACCAAUCCAAGAGAGAGA